rnacentral:rRNA from 1 species
AGUGAACGCUGGCGGUAGGCCUAACACAUGCAAGUCGAACGGCAGCACAGUAAGAGCUUGCUCUUACGGGUGGCGAGUGGCGGACGGGUGAGGAAUCCAUCGGAAUCUACUUUUUCGUGGGGGAUAACGUAGGGAAACUUACGCUAAUACCGCAUACGACCUACGGGUGAAAGCAGGGGAUCUUCGGACCUUGCGCGAUUGAAUUAGCCGAUGUCGGAUUAGCUAGUUGGCGGGGUAAAGGCCCACCAAGGCGACGAUCCGUAGCUGGUCUGAGAGGAUGAACAGCCACACUGGAACUGAGACACGGUCCAGACUCCUACGGGAGGCAGCAGUGGGGAAUAUUGGACAAUGGGCGCAAGCCUGAUCCAGCCAUACCGCGUGGGUGAAGAAGACCUUCGGGUUGUAAAGCCCUUUUGUUGGGAAAGAAAAGCAGCAGGUUAAUACCCCGCUGUUCUGACGGUACCCAAAGAAUAAGCACCGGCUAACUUCGUG